GCCUUCGUGGUGUAGUGGUAAGCACGCUCGACGCAUAUUCGAGAGGUAUCAGGUUCGAGUCCAGACGAGGGCA